rnacentral:rRNA from 1 species
ACGAACGCUGGCGGCGUGCUUAACACAUGCAAGUCGAACGGUGAAGGGACUGGUUUUUGCUGGUUCUGGAUGAGUGGCGAACGGGUGAGUAACACGUGAGUAACCUGCCCCCUUCUUCUGGAUAACCGCAUGAAAGUGUGGCUAAUACGGGAUAUUCUGCGCCUGCUGCAUGGUGGGUGUGGGAAAGAUAUUGUUUCGGUGGGGGAUGGGCUCGCGGCCUAUCAGCUUGUUGGUGGGGUGAUGGCCUACCAAGGCGGUGACGGGUAGCCGGCCUGAGAGGGUGGACGGUCACACUGGGACUGAGACACGGCCCAGACUCCUACGGGAGGCAGCAGUGGGGAAUAUUGCACAAUGGGCGCAAGCCUGAUGCAGCGACGCCGCGUGAGGGAUGGAGGCCUUCGGGUUGUAAACCUCUUUCGCCAGUGAAGCAGGCCUGUCCAUUUUGUGGGUGGGUUGACGGUAGCUGGAGAAGAAGCGCCGGCUAACUACGUG